GUGUCAGCAGCCGCGGUAAUACGGAAGGGGCUAGCGUUGUUCGGAAUCACUGGGCGUAAAGCGCGCGUAGGCGGCCGGUCAAGUGCGGCGUGAAAGUCCUGGGCUCAACCCGGGGACGGCGCUGCGGACUGUCCGGCUGGAGUCCGGAAGAGGGUGGUGGAAUUCCGAGUGUAGAGGUGAAAUUCGUAGAUAUUCGGAGGAACACCGGUGGCGAAGGCGGCCACCUGGUCCGGUACUGACGCUCAAGCGCGAAAGCGUGGGGAGCAAACAGGAUUAGAUACCCUGGUAGUCC
rnacentral:rRNA from 1 species